rnacentral:lncRNA from 1 species
UUGCUUCUAUGGAUAACAUAUAGAUAUCCAUUGUCUAGGCCUACUACUCAGCCAUUUAUGAAAUGACUACAAAAGAGGUAUCAUUACUGAUGACCAAGCUGAUUGGCUCUAGUGCAAGUGGGAGAUUGUUGGAAAUGUGCCCUAAAACCAAUCAUAUGAUGAUACUUUACGGACAUUUCACAAAGUUAAACUAAUGUAGUUUAAAUAUAAAGGGCAAAGAUUAUUGUUUGAGCCAUCUCAUAUAAAUGUUAUAUGCUUAAACGAUAAGUCCAAUGAAUAUGUGAUUAGGAGAAUGUAAUCUAAAGAAGUUAGAUUCAUGAGACCAUUCUUUCGUAGACACAUCCUAAACGUUCCUAAUCAUAGGAUUGCCAAUUGGGCAUUGACAAUCCGUUAAGAUCAGUACGUGUUGUGUCUUCUCUCAGGGAAAAUGACUAGUCUCGAGUCAUUGGUGUGUGUGACAUCAAGACAAG